CUCCGGCCUCCUGUCCUCUUGUCCAGGACAAGUGAUUCAGAGAAGAGUGAAGAGCUUCUUGUCAAGAAGUUCCUGUACAGAUACAUGUUCUAGAUACAUGUAGUUUUGGUUGUCAAGUUGAUUCUCUAAAAGUAUGAAGAAAUCAUGUAAAGAUGGCUACAAUUAAGUUCAAUCUCUGCCUAGAUUCCGUGCUUGACAUGUAGAUUUGUGAAUCUGGUAACAUGUUUUAAGAGGAUUGUACAAAUUUAUGUACAGGAUGGCUUCAAGUGCCUGGAACAAGAUGAAGUUCUUAUGAUGUAUUGAUGUAUAGAAUGCUUGUAAAUGAUGUACUAUAUAGAAGCUGUGUGUUAGUAUUUUUUCUACUGUUAGUUUAUGUUUGAUAUAUUCCCUGUGUGUGUAUAUGUCAGAAUGGACCACAGGAAGAAUAGCUAUAGUUCGUACACUAAUUGUGGAUGACCUAAUAAAGUCAAGGAGGGGGUGAUAUUCUUUGAAUUUUUACUGCUUUUUCUUACACCUUCUCUUGUCUUGUUGCAGGCAGCUGUCCCGCAUAGCUUCAUUGCCGACUACGGCCUCCUGUCCAGGCAUGAGCAGAGUUUAUUCCUGGGCAGCUAAGUUAUGUACUGAUUAUAUCUUCUUGUGAUGUUUGCUUGUCAAAGUUGAUUGUUGGCCAAAAGUCUGUUGUUUAAGAUACUUUUAUACUGUCAGCAUCUUACCUUCCAUUUAAUGCUCUUGUGUGUAGAUAUGUGAACCUGCUUAAAGCAACAUACAAUUAGUAAUGUUGUUUUUUUUAUAUUUUUCUCCAAUAACUGUUCGUCAGUAAGAACAUUUUGUAGGAAACAUUGUGUUUUUUACAAUUUUAGCAGACUGGUAAGAUGUCCAGUUCUUUCAUGCAGAAUUCACAGUCUGUAUCUGAACUAACGAACAAAUCUUGGCAUUGCACCCUCGUUCCUCCCCUAACAUAUAUUCUACAUGAAAGAACAGACUUACACAUGGUGAAAUGUAUUAAAUUUUGAAUAAUACUGGCUUUGUUUGGAUGAUCAGUUUCAAUGCGGGUAUUUUUUUGUUUUGGAUAGAUAGGAAAAAGUGUUCAUGUAAGGAUUACAUUAUCUGAUUGUUGUUCUUCAAAGUUGAUCGCAGUUAGCCGUAAUGCUUGUUUGGUAGUUGAUUGUGGUGUACUGUGGCACUAAAUUGCUAAUGGCUUGUGCAAAAGAGUGGAAGAUUGAUUUUCGUUGAAAUUUUUUCACAAUGACAGAAUAAGAAGUCCAAAUUGCAUGCCGUGUUUGUGCCUGGUAGACAUUUUUCUCUUGAUGCCAUUCCUUAUAUCUGAUGUCUUUUUGUUGCAGACAAUUGACUCCAGCCUGCUGUCCAGACCAGGUGAUGCGGAGAAGAGUGGAGAGUUUGUUGCAAGGAAGAUUCAUUGAGUUUAAAGGGCAGCUGUCCAACAUGGCAUUGCAACUGACUCCAGCCUCCUGUCCAGACAUGAGCAGAUGAGAGUUUAUUCCUGGGCAGCUAAACAGCUGUUGAACAUGGCAUAGCUGCGUGUUCUGACUCCAGCCUCCUGUCCAGACCAGGUGAUGCGCAGAAGACAUUCAUUGAGUUUAAAAGGCACAGUGAAGAUCGGAGGCACUCCUGGACUGGCAGGAUUGACUGCAGAAGUCAGCGACAAACAACAGGAAGCUUGUAUUUAAAAUAAUGGCGUAGACACUGACAGGGUAUAUUGAGUUGAAAGUAGGAAUAGUCUGACUUAAUGUUGACUUUGUGAAGGUUUUGUUUAUGGGAAAUUUUGUUGUAAUGUUGGAUGAUUGUUAAACCGAUAGUCACUGUUUCUCGUAUACCUCAUAAUGUUUGUAUGACACCUAAAUGAUUAGUAUUUGAUUAGUAUAUUGCUCGCAUGGUUGUGUGAAAAAUUAUACUGACAGUCUGUAUAACCAUUGUAUCAUUUUGUGACAUGUCAUUGCGCUUGUUUUUUGUAGACAAUUGAUAGUAUUGACUAUUGUGUAACUGGAUGUAUUACUGUUCUAUACUGAUGUAGAUAUUGCACGCUGAAACUGUAUGUAUCUGAUGUAUUGUAUUGCUCAUGUUUUAUGAAUGCAUCUGAAGUGAAGAAAAAGAAAGAAAAGUCAAUAGACUAGGCUGGUACAGAAUAAGUUAUCUGUUCACAGGAGUAGGUAUAAGUGAAGAAGCCAUUUUGUCCUGUUAUAUGAAAGUACAUUUUCAAAAAAGGAAGUUGAAAGAAGAAUUUUGGACAUUCCUGUGAACACUACUUAGUACCAGCGUAGUUCAUGUUGAAGUUUGUGUGUGUUUCUUUAUUCAACUUCUCUAAACUUUAGAGUCAAUUUCACAUUCCUAUGUCCUAAGGGAUUUUGAAUGUUGAGAAGUUUAUCCGGCUAUUGAAAAGUUGACUAGUUUUGUGGAAUUGACUUUUAUUUGAAGUCUUUACUUUCUAUUUACUGCCUCUUAUUUCUCAGUGUGCACUUAGAGUUAGAAUGAAAGCAUAAAUGGACUAGGCUGGUACAACGUUGCU